rnacentral:rRNA from 1 species
CUGGCGGCGUGCCUAAUACAUGCAAGUCGAACGAGUUCUCGUUGAUGAUCGGUGCUUGCACCGAGAUUCAACAUGGAACGAGUGGCGGACGGGUGAGUAACACGUGGGUAACCUGCCCUUAAGUGGGGGAUAACAUUUGGAAACAGAUGCUAAUACCGCAUAGAUCCAAGAACCGCAUGGUUCUUGGCUGAAAGAUGGCGUAAGCUAUCGCUUUUGGAUGGACCCGCGGCGUAUUAGCUAGUUGGUGAGGUAAUGGCUCACCAAGGCGAUGAUACGUAGCCGAACUGAGAGGUUGAUCGGCCACAUUGGGACUGAGACACGGCCCAAACUCCUACGGGAGGCAGCAGUAGGGAAUCUUCCACAAUGGACGCAAGUCUGAUGGAGCAACGCCGCGUGAGUGAAGAAGGCUUUCGGGUCGUAAAACUCUGUUGUUGGAGAAGAAUGGUCGGCAGAGUAACUGUUGUCGGCGUGACGGUAUCCAACCAGAAAGCCACGGCUAACUACGUGCCAGCAGCCGCGGUAAUACGUAGGUGGCAAGCGUUAUCCGGAUUUAUUGGGCGUAAAGCGAGCGCAGGCGGUUUUUUAAGUCUGAUGUGAAAGCCCUCGGCUUAACCGAGGAAGCGCAUCGGAAACUGGGAAACUUGAGUGCAGAAGAGGACAGUGGAACUCCAUGUGUAGCGGUGAAAUGCGUAGAUAUAUGGAAGAACACCAGUGGCGAAGGCGGCUGUCUGGUCUGUAACUGACGCUGAGGCUCGAAAGCAUGGGUAGCGAACAGGAUUAGAUACCCUGGUAGUCCAUGCCGUAAACGAUGAAUGCUAGGUGUUGGAGGGUUUCCGCCCUUCAGUGCCGCAGCUAACGCAUUAAGCAUUCCGCCUGGGGAGUACGACCGCAAGGUUGAAACUCAAAGGAAUUGACGGGGGCCCGCACAAGCGGUGGAGCAUGUGGUUUAAUUCGAAGCAACGCGAAGAACCUUACCAGGUCUUGACAUCUUUUGAUCACCUGAGAGAUCAGGUUUCCCCUUCGGGGGCAAAAUGACAGGUGGUGCAUGGUUGUCGUCAGCUCGUGUCGUGAGAUGUUGGGUUAAGUCCCGCAACGAGCGCAACCCUUAUGACUAGUUGCCAGCAUUUAGUUGGGCACUCUAGUAAGACUGCCGGUGACAAACCGGAGGAAGGUGGGGAUGACGUCAAAUCAUCAUGCCCCUUAUGACCUGGGCUACACACGUGCUACAAUGGAUGGUACAACGAGUUGCGAGACCGCGAGGUCAAGCUAAUCUCUUAAAGCCAUUCUCAGUUCGGACUGUAGGCUGCAACUCGCCUACACGAAGUCGGAAUCGCUAGUAAUCGCGGAUCAGCACGCCGCGGUGAAUACGUUCCCGGGCCUUGUACACACCGCCCGUCACACCAUGAGAGUUUGUAACACCCGAAGCCGGUGGCGUAACCCUUUUAGGGAGCGAGCCGUCUAAGGUGGGACAAAUGAUU